CAACCCUCGAGCCCCCCCCGGGGGCCUCGGUGUUGGGGGACGGCACACCAGCCGCCCCCGAAAUGCAGUGGCGACCCCGCCGCAGCCUCCCCUGCGUAGUAGCACACACCUCGCACCGGAGCGCGGAGGCGGUCACGCCGUAAAACGCCCAACUUUCUUAG
rnacentral:misc_RNA from 1 species